CUCAGUAUAUAAUUGUUAAAGUUUGCAGUUCCAGCUAUGGCAGAUUGUCUUGUAUCAGACCAAUUCAAUUACCAAGGAAAACUAUGAGGACUGGAAAAAUAUUGAUUGAAAAUUUAAUAUUUUCACACAUACACACACACCCCAGAGAGUUUUCUAAGCAUCUUCAGUGGUCAAGAUCCCAUAGAGAAGAGAAAGACAAAGAGAUAAGGACAAUGGUGUCCAGAAAACUUGCUUACUUUGUUCAAGAACUUUUUAUUGAUAAAUAGAAGAAUUGAUAUUCCAGCUUAGGCCUCUCCAGUUUCAAAUUAUGUGUUCUACCAGGCUUCGUCUGCUAAUUCAUGAAUGUGAAUUAGGCAAAUUACACAACUGGUUCAGAAAGAUAUGCUAUCUAGUAAGACCAGGAACAAGAGAACUAAGGAGAGAGAUGCAUACUUGCAACAAUCGAUAGCACUGCUCUAGAACCAGCCACUAUACCAGAAAAAUGAAAAUAAUGCUGAAGGGACUUUAACAAAGAUUUUGGGGACCAGCUGGGAGAGGGCAUUCAUCAUUCUGCUUGUAUUCCACUGGCCAGAACUAUCUAGGUGCAAGGGGACAAAGAAUGUACUGGAUCCAGGAAGAAGAGUGGAAUACAAAUACUCAUGAUCACUUUAAUUCCUCAUUUGCUAUCUUGCCUUCAGCAUCUGAAAGUGAAUUUCUUUCUAUAAAUACAGAAAAAUAAAUAAAGCUUUGGAUAUGG